ensembl:lncRNA
UGUAGGUUUUAUCUGUUGUGGUUUGUGUAAGCCAGAGCGCCAAAGACAAAACGUCCAUUGUUGGUGAAAACAGUUUUGAUAGAGCAUGGGCGUUUGUAACGCCGAGGGUCGCCUUCCAGAACUGCACCCAGGGCUAUUCACUGGACUACACGCCUAGGAAGAUCACUCUGAGCAUCACAGAGGUCAGAACGCAAGACUUCGGAUCUCACGUCUGCUCCGUUAGCAAGAGACACGAGUUCACGGACUUUAGCAUCGAGCUAGCCAUGAAGACGGAUCCCAUCACUUCCUUACCGACGAACAGGUGGGCUCAGUCAGGUCUUCCUGAGGGACAUCUUGUUGUCCUUGUCUGCUCUGUGUUGGUCAGCACCUGGGGAUGAACAGUAAAAAUACUGGGAAAAUAAAGAACAGAUUGAGAUGACA